CUCACAUGCAUCUAGGGAGAGGACAAGAGGACAUAGAUGUAAGAUAUGCCAGGGGAAGUUUAGUUUGGACAUCAUAAAGAAUUCCUUCACAGAAGAGAAACAAGGAAUUGUGACUGUAAGGCUGCUUGAUGCCUCUUAAAAUGAAGUCUGAUGGAGAGACAAGUAUUGUGGUGUUAUCACGAGUCCCUUUUGGACUCAGGUGAACUAUACUGUGAAAAAUUUACAGGUUUGAGAGACUCAAGGGUCCUGGCUCUCAAAAGAACUACUACCUGUGUUAGUAUACUACUUGUUAAUGGUGUUCCAAAUAUUACUUAGAAAAUCUUUCAGGCUGAGAUGGAGCUUGGGGACCAUAAUAUGGCAACUCUGGAGACAAUGUUGUGCAACAUCAAGGCCAUCUGUAGAAUCUGCACUCAAAAAUGUCAACUCUGUGAAACUCUUCUUUUAAAUAAAAUUAUUUCACAACAUGAUUGUAGAACAUUUGUUGCUGCUAAAUGCAGGCCUUGAUGUCUAGUGGAUGGGUCUGGACACAGAUGGACUGUGGAGUCUGCUGUCUGCUUUCAGAGACCCAUGGAAUACAGGUGGGCUUUGGUUUGGUGAGCCUAUGGCUCUAUUUCUGUCAUGUCUCAAGACUUGCAGGUGUGCUGUUCCUUGUUAGCACAGAAUCACCCAAAAAAGAAGGAUUCAUCUCAAAAAAAAUAAAUGCACAGGCAGUGGGUGGCCAUUGUGCUUCUUUCUGACCUUGGAGCUGAGGAGGUUUUAUCUUCAUGCAAGUAGGAGCACAGCCUGGUUACAUCAUGGAUGGACAACAGUGGGCAAGGCUUGUGUAAAGGUCUCUAACAGCCCUCCUACACCUGCUCUUGAUUCCAAAAAAUAGGAGAAGGACAACAAUUUUUUUUUUUUUUCCUGUUCAAGGCUACAAUAUCUUCUACAGUGAUGUUAUAGUACAGGAGAACUUUUCAAAUUAUUCUUUUUUUUCAGUAUUGUUACUACUUCUAUGAAAAUACUGAAAUAGGCUACACAAGAGAAUCCCUACAACCAGCUUGUUUUUGACAACAGAAAGCUCCACAGAUCAUUGAAAUACAGCUUAAGGAACAGUUUCACUGUACUGGAAAAGCUUACUUCUAAUUCUUUUGGUGUAAAUAUUGAAACUCCAGCUUAUUUCUGUUGUUACAAAAAUCUGGCCAAAACUAGUAACUUGAUAAAAGAAAAUAUAAAUCAAUGGAAGGACUAAUAACUAUAGUAGAUGUACCAUUUUUA